UGUGACCUCAAAUCAGGUAGGACUACCCGCUGAACUUAAGCAUAUCAAUAAGCGGAGGAAAAGAAACUAACAAGGAUUCCCCUAGUAACUGCGAGUGAAGCGGGAAAAGCUCAAAUUUAAAAUCUGUCAGUCUUUGGCUGUCCGAGUUGUAAUCUAGAGAAGUGUUAUCCGCGCUGGACCGUGUACAAGUCUCCUGGAAUGGAGCGUCAUAGAGGGUGAGAAUCCCGUCUUUGACACGGACUGCCAGGGCUUUUGUGAUGCGCUCUCAAAGAGUCGAGUUGUUUGGGAAUGCAGCUCAAAAUGGGUGGUAAAUUCCAUCUAAAGCUAAAUAUUGGCGAGAGACCGAUAGCGAACAAGUACCGUGAGGGAAAGAUGAAAAGAACUUUGGAAAGAGAGUUAAACAGUACGUGAAAUUGCUGAAAGGGAAACGCUUGAAGUCAGUCGCGUCAUUCAGGGAUCAACCUUGCUUUUGCUUGGUGUACUUUCUGGUUGACGGGUCAGCAUCAAUUUUGACCAUUGGAAAAAGAUUAAGGGAAUGUGGCAUACAUAGUGAUGUGUUAUAGCCCUUGGUUGCAUACAAUGGUUGGGAUUGAGGAACUCAGCACGCCGCAAGGCCGGG
rnacentral:rRNA from 2 species